rnacentral:misc_RNA from 1 species
AAGUCGUAACAAGGUAACCGUAGGUGAACCUGCGGUUGGAUCAUUAAAGAAAUGUUAAAGACGGAAGUCUUAAACUGAAAAGGGAGUUGCGGAUAAGUUGAAAGACUUUGAAGCGCUCUCAACACCUAUUGUGAACCAUGUUUAAGUCUUUGGCAAGAUGUCUUAAUUGACCUUGCCUUUGAUGUUAAAACUUGAUAUUGCCAAAGAUCAUCCUUUACAUUUACAAUGUAAACAACUUUUGACAACGGAUCUCUUGGCUCUC